GCCACCAGGGAAGCCCAGGGGCGACUUUUAAAUGGACCUUGAAGAGCGGCUUCAAGCUCCCCAGACAGACAACAGGGAAGGAAGGGUGCUCAGGGAGAAGCAGCAUUUGCAAAGCCACGGGGGUGGGACAGCAGGGUGCAGCCCGAGGACAGCAAGGCGGCCAGCAAGGGAGCAGGGAGGGGUGUGAGGGCAAGGAGCCUGGGAGGCGAGCAGAGGAAGGACCGAGAAGGGCCUUGUACGCCAGGCCCGGGGUGGACGCCUUACCUUGGAGGAACUGGGGGGCUGCGGCUUGCUGAGCAGAGGACGUGGCUUGAGCACGUCCCUGGGGAGGAUCCCUGACGACGGCUGGGGUCACGCAGCCUGGGGCAGGGGCACCUGUCAAGACGCAGCUGUCUAGAAGAUGGUGAGAAGCGGAGUCCAGGAAAGCCGAAGGCUGUGCGUGGGAGGGACAGGUCAAAGCUGACCCCAGGCCUGCGGUGACAGCGAGACACUCACCUGGGCAGGAAAGGUGAAGAGUCUGGUGUGAGGUUGGGCGAAAACCUCUGCUUGUGCAGGUGAGUGGUCUGGGUAGAGAUGCAGGAAAGAGGCACCUGCGGCCUAAGAGAAAGGCUGCAGCAGGAUGCAGAGGUACAGGGGUAGAGGUGGGGCUGCGGCUGCCCAGGGCUGUGCAGACACUUAGCGGGGAGGGCGCAGGGUGAGGCCCCAGGAGCUCCCACACUCAUGAGAAAACGAAGAGAAAGUGAGGAGAGGAAGUGGCUGGGUUCCUGCUCCCUCGAGGCCAGAGAGGGAAGGCGCGCCAUCUGGGUGGCCAGAGACAAAGGUCACUCACAGUCCAUCAGCAGACACCAGCCGGGGCUCCCGGAGUGGGACCAACCCAGAACUGACUUUCCGAGAAGACCUUCUGACCAGAAAGCUCUGUCCUACCCAGAGGCCCAACGUGCUGUGUGAAAACAGGGGUCCAGGGAAAGGGGACGGAGGAGGCAGAGGAAGAAAAACCUCGUGCACCCUCAGGCAAGAUAAGGGAAGCAUCUUGGGCUUCUGGAAGAUUUUACCUUUCAGCCUUCUUCUUGUUUAUUCUUCUUGUGGGAACAGGGACAUGGGGGCUGCAGGGCCGGGCUUGUCUGGGCCUCAGAGUGUCACAGCGAAGAUGAGAGGCCCAUCGAGAAAUCAGACAAGGACCAAACUGGCCCCUUCGUUGUCGCCGCCCCAGCCUCCACGGCAGAAGGAGGCCAGGCCUCCUACCUCCACCUCUCCGGCCUCAGGAAAGGGCCGAGGAAGGACUGCAGGAGAUGCACGGGGUCUGAGCAUCCUGGGGUCCACCCUCGGAAUGUGCUUCCCGAAUCCUGGAGGGCUGCCCCCCAGCCCACCCCGCAGCAAGUCAGCGCCUUCACACCUGCGGCUCCUGGCACUUAGCUGCUGUCCUUGAAACCCAGCACCUGCCUCGUGGUGGUUCAGGCAAACAGAGUCAUCACCAGCCAUUUAGUGAGCGCUCACCAGUGCCAGGCCACCGUAAACGCUUGGUAGAAUCAUCAUACUUCAUCUUUACAUUCUUACCCCAGCUCAGAGAGGGAAAGUAACUUUCCCAAGGACACACAGCUGGGAUCCAAAUUGCAGAUGUGGAAACUGCAACCAGGGAAAUCGAGCGCCAGGGCCAGGCACACACCAGCACAGCGCCGACCCCAGCCCGUCAGCCCUCUGCUGCUUCCCGACUGCACCUCGGGGCAGGAGUUCUGUAAACCCUGGCCGCUGCGAGGGCACCCCGCCUGCCAGUCCUGGGCUCCCUUGGCUCUUUGGGGCAGUGGGGAUGUCAGAGGCCACUAGGUGGAACCAAAUGUUCAGAGAUGGAAGUUCAGGGCUGCCUGCGCUCUGAGCCCUGCCCACAGACCCUGUGGCUGUCGGAGUCUCCACCGGGUGGGUUCCCCGGGCCGACCCCGGGGGCUGUGGAGAUGCACCUGCCAUUCCACCCCACCCUCCUGGGGUGCCCAACUCGGCCCCCUCGCAGGUCGGCCUCCCCAGCCGAAACUCCUGUCCUGGACCAAGCUGGUCCCCUACUCAGAGGCAGGCCACGUGGAAGGCGGAGAUUUCCCAGCCCUUAGGACGGGCUCUCCUCCAUCCCCGGAAUUCCCCAUCCUGCCCCCUGGGAAUUCCCCAGUGAGCUGGCCAGGGAAGGUCCUGGGGCGGGAGGCGGUGGGAGCGGGACUGGGGCUGUCCCCUGGCGUGGAGCGCGUUGAGGGCCUUGGGGCUGCCAGGGCGGUGCCGCCUGAGAAGACAGUUCAGAGUUGACGUUUUCUGGAACAAGUUCCACUAGCCAGCAUUGUCCAGCGAACGGAACCACACAGUCCAGGUAUGACUUCUUCAACGGUUCUGCCACUUACGAGCUGUGUGACUUUGGGCAAGUACUGAACCUCUCUGGGCCUCGGCUGUAACGAGGGGACAGUAACAGACUAAAUGGGCUCGUCUAUGUCCAUCACUAGAACAGUGUCUGGUACACAGGAAGCACUAGAUGAGGAUAAGCUGUUGCCAUGGUAACUCGCUUAUUACCACAGCCUCACGAGGCAGGUGCUGUCAUUACCUUCACUUUACAGAUUUGGAAAUUGAAGGACAGAGAGGUAGGAGGCAGCCAAAGAGGUGGGGGCGGGGGGUAAAUUUGAGACAAGUCCUCCCCCACCGCACACCUUCCCCUCCGUCUGGCACCAGACCUGGGCGGGGUGUCCUCGGGACCCCACUGUGGCAGCCCUCUGGGCUCCGGGCUCCUGGGGCCCAGGGGCACUGGGGGACAGGUGAAGGGCCAUGGUUAGGUGUGCUUCUAAAAGUCAGAUGGUCAGGACCCGCUCCCAACUCUAGGACGAGCCAGCCAUCAGUCAUCAUUCCUCGUCCAAAUGCCCGCUGAGCACCUACUGUGCUCCAGGCAUUGUCGUAGACACUCGGGAAACAGUGAACAACAUGCGCAUGACCUCUGCCCCCCGAGAUUCACAUUCAAGGAAGGAGGCGGCCACUGAACAAACUAACCCCCAAAUAGCAUAACUAUAAAUUGUGAGGAAGGACACGGGAAAAGGAGAGGGUGCCGUGACAUCCUGGAAUCUCUCUGCCCUUCAGCCUUCUCGUGGGUGAAAGGUCAGGAGUAUCACCGGGACCUGAGGUCUCACAAGGACGCUGUUGCAGUAGAAUGUGGGCAUUGUGAAGGCAAGGUUUCCACUGUACUGAGCGUGGUCCCUGGAUCGCCCGCCUUGGGGAGCUGGUUGAUACGCCGGCUCAAGCAGACACUCGGGCGGGACCAGCACCCCACGCUUCAGCAAACCCUCCAGAGGAUGUCGAUGCAGUGCCUCAGGAACGCCCGCUGCAUCGAACAGACAGGGUGGAAUGGAGGCUGAGCUUGUAGGAGGGAGCAGACACAGGGAAUGCUGACGUGGGGAGCUCCUGGACCUCAGACCCACCCAACUCUGACGAGCAGGGCCUGUCUCCCCGUCUGCUUCCUCAGCGCCUGGCAUCCAGGAGUUGCUUGGAACGUGUGUGUAAGGAAAAAAGAACACACAGUCAGCAGAGGCACAGAACUACUCACCAAGUCCUCCCUGCUCGGGGAUCCCAACGUCCCCUCAGUGAAGGAAACCCCUGGCCUCCUCGACAGAAGGAAGCCUUACAGCGGCCCAGAUGGUCAGUGGGAAGACUUCGCACCACCCCAAGAUGCUCCUUCCCUGGGACUCUCCCCAGCACGGUGCUGGCUCUCCCAGACUGUCAUGUUCCAAUCAGGUCUCAUCACCUCCCCUCUGUCUCCCACAGCCCAGCCUAGGCGAGGCUGGGAUGUUCAAACACAGGGAAGGGCUCAGGAUGCCACGGUGAGAUAAGCACAGCCUGUUAUGAGGAGCCGCUAAUCUGGCCUGCAACGUGUCAUCCCGCCCUCCAGACCCCAGGGCACCUCCGCUGAGCUCCGACCAGCACUCAGCACCCUGAGCUCACCAUAGACGAGGCUCUCUUCCCGUGGUGAAGUCAGGUCCUCUUACCUAAAGACGGCCCUCCAGGUUAGCGUCUCCCGAUGUUUACCGAUGCCUGCUAUGUUCCAGACUCAAAAGCACCUGCUACUAAUGUACAACCAGCCACCUUUGAAGCCUCCGUUGACAGAGAGGUCCCUCCAUCCCAGGCAGCCCCGUCCAGUUUUAGACGGCUCGAAAGUGGAAGUUGCUCCUUUAUUAGAAAUGUGACUCCAGGAAAAUCCACGUGUCCCCUGGAGGAGGCAGAACACACCCAGGAUCCGGGUGGGAGAAGCGGUCAGCAGACGUAAAUUCAACUCCAUAAGGAGGAGAACAGGUGGAGGUGUGUGAGGGUGACCAGACGGGAAUGCUGGGGCCAAGCGGCCGGUCUUGGGGAAUCAAAGAACGGUUCCUAGAGACGAGCCUUAGAAGGGGUUUCUCCCAUGGGCUUCCCUGGUGGCGCAGUGGUUGAGAGUCCGCCUGCCGAUGCAGGGGACGCGGGUUCGUUCCCCCGUCCGGGAAGAUCCCACAUGCCGCGGAGCGGCUGGGCCCGUGAGCCAUGGCCGCUGAGCCUGCGCGUCCGGAGCCUGUGCUCCGCAACGGGAGAGGCCACAACAGUGAGAGGCCCGCGUACCACACAAAAAAAAAAAAGCAGAAGAAGGGGUUUCUCCUGGAACAGAGUCCGGGUGGAAGAGGGGAGGCUCCUUUGGCAGAAAGGAGGUGGAGCCAAAGUUCCAGCAGGAAGGUGGCUGGUGGGGAGGAAAGGGUGAUUCCAGAAAGAUCCCACCUGCUGGUGGAGCAGAGGGCCACCCAGCGGGAGGAGGGAGCCUGGUCCCCAGCAUUGCAAGACCAGGAACUGAGGGGCACGGCAAGGGUGGGGUGAGGCUGGAGGAGCCUGGGAAGCCCAUGCAGGGCAACCCCCCACCCUGUUCCUCCCCGUCUGCCCCCACCCCCCAAGGUGAUCCCAGGCAGGAGGGCACCUGAGUCCCUGAGCAUUCUGUAGCUCUCCCUACAGAAACCUCUACGUGGUUCCCAUCCUCGGGCAGCUAGAGGGCUCUCUGGAGUCCGGAACCUGGUUCCAGAGCCCUGGGGUGGGCGGGGAGGGUCGGAAUGAAAUCUUCUGGGAGAGCCAAGGCCCGGCUGUGACUGUGACAAGGGGGCCUGCAGGAAGCCACUGCAGCUUCUGCUAGGGUGGUGAGGGUCUGGGAGACAGGUGAGCUCCAGACAGCACAGGUCCCUCGCCCCUCGCCCCCAGGUGCUGGCACUGGCGCCCCCCUUCCACUCACACAGCCUCAGGCACCGGGGCUGAGACGAGCAGAUUAUUCAGUGCCAGGUGCCCAGGCCGUGUCCUCUCGGCCUUCUCGCCCUGAUGUCCUGCCACAAGCUGCCAGCCAGGCUCAGCACAAAUGAACACGGAGCCGAGCCGAGGAGAAGGGCUCGGCCCCCCCCCAGGUGGCACCUGCCCGGCUGGCACCAGGGCACAGGCUGGGGUGCUGAGGGAGGAUGGCUGGGCUUCUGCUCUGGGGACCUUCUGAGCCCAAGAGCUGCUCUCACUUCCUCCCGCUCUGGGGUCGGAGGGUGGUCCGGACACAGCCUGAGAUGGAACCACGCAGGGUUCAGGCUGUGUGGCCCGGGGCAAGUCACCUUACCUCUGACCCUCAGCCUUCCUGGCUGUAAACCCUCCCUCAAAGUGUUGUACUGAACGUCAAACUGCAUGGCUAAGGGGCGCUCCCGACACAAAGUGGGCUCCUCAUAAACGCCCACCUCUUCCUUCACACCCUCCUCAUCCCCUGGUCCCACGAAGAGCCACCCUCGGGUGGCCCCGGACCCUUACGUGCACGCGGUCCCCCUGGAGCCCCCGUGUUGGGAGGGCCUGGGCCUGCCGUGCGGCCUGCCUGGAAACGGGCUGUGACUCAGAGCGCUGAGGGCCCUGGGGCCACGCGGCCAGGAGCCCAGCACCUGAGGGCCCCUCCUAGGGUGAAAAGUCACUGCAUGCCCUACUCAGUCAUUGCCCAGGUUGGGGUGAAGAGGGGGGCAGUGCUUCAAAGGAGGGGAGAAAGACGGGGUGGAUUUCCUCCCUGUAUGCAAGGGAGGCUAGGGACAACCUCGGAGCCCUCACCGCGGUCGGAUCUUUCCCACCCGGAAUCGCAGCCCAGCCUCUGCUCGCAGGAACAAGCAGGGCCAAGCCAGCUGCCCCAGACCUGGGGUGAGACAACCUGUGGACGAAGAGAAUGGCUUCCGGCCCAGGCAAGACCCCCCCACUCUGGACGUCCCUGGUUGCGGGGGUCGAAUCUGGCCCCCUCCUGAUUCCCCCUGGACUCGCUUUUUUUUCUCUCCUGUCCAGACCAGCACAAAGUCUGCGGGUCUGCAGACUGCACUGGGUUGGGUCCUCAAUCUUAGGAGCUGGGAGGAGGUCCUCUGCUGCGCCGACAUGAGCACAGACUCAGGGAGGCGGGUGCCUGCUGACCCGGCCCAGCACAGCCCCUGACAUCCUGACGCUGUGUCACUUCCUACACAGCAGGGCCGUGCUGGCUCCAGCCGAGGCCAUGCUCAGGGCUCAGGACUCACAACAAAAGCACCCCAAAACCCGGGGGCUUGAAAAGGUGAGUGCGGGUUUCCUCAACCUCCAGGGUUACUCUGAAACCGACCUCGACUGUGCCGUCUCCCUGUACGGACAUCCCUCCGCGUGCAGCCACGUUCGUAUGACCAGCAGCAGCGCUUGGUCUCGGCCUGGGCCUCUGACGGCGGAACCGACAGGAGGUCCAUCCUCCUGGCCCUCAGCGUGUCCCAGGAUGCGUUGCCUUUCUCCAGGUCUCCCUCUGGAGGUGUCUGACCGCCACGGCCCAGGACGCCCUCCAGGGUGGGCCCACGAGGCCAAAGUCUGGCCGGGAUCCUGGAACUUGGGCAAGACCACCUGGCCAACAGCACGGGCCCCUGCCUCCCCUGGGGGGAGGACCCACACUGGCCCCCGACCCUCACCUAUGAAACGUGGCUUUGCUAGGGGAACUCUCAGUCCCUUCCAACCCCAGAAUUCCCAGAAGAACUUCCGCGGACGACGCCGAGGUGACGUUUUGCCUGUUUGCUUUUGUUGGUUGUUUUUUGUUUUUUCAGAGGAUGAGGGAGAAUUCUGGACCCCUUUUGGCCUAACGGUCUAUAGAAAGCUGGCACUGGACACUGCAACCUGCUGGACCUUUUCCCUUUGCCCAUCUCCACCACGGGGUGGAGGGACAUGGAGAUGGCGGCAACCCUGGCAGGGGCAGGAGGGAGCGCCCAUCUCACUUGUGCAGGUGCGCGUGUAUGCGUCUGUGGGCCUCUGUGCUCAGGACGGGGCAGCGUGUGUCGCCCUCCAUGGCGGACUCACAGAGCUCACCACAUGCAGCUGUAUAAGGAGAUUUAUAUUUCUCUCCUGAACGGCCGGGGCAGGGGUGUGGUCCAACAGAUGGCUGGCAUGUUCCAGGUGUGUCUGGCUGGAAAAGGCAUCUGGCCCAGCCUCCUGAUUGGCUCUCAGUGAGUCACGGCGGUUGGGUUCCUGGAGCGGCUGUCAUGGAGCCGGGGUCAUGCCCUGCGUUAUCUUUACUGCCUUCUCUGCCGGCGCAGACGGACAAUGUUCCCCGUGUCGCAGUGACACUCGCGGGCUGCUGACUCCGGGUCAGUGGGACAUGCCCUCUGGGUAAUCUUCCUGGCGGGGCGUGGGUUCACCUCGACCUCGCUGCGCCUUGACGCUGCAGCCCACCCGGGUCCAACGGCCCCGCAUGGGAGCGAUUCGAGGGGCCAGCUUGCCAGCUGACUGAAACCUGGCAAAGCCACAGAGGGGUUUCCUCAGUUCCCAAAGACCCACCUGAACUGACCGGCAGCAUAAAAAUGUUUGUGGGUAAACAUUCUAGAAACCAGCUCCGGCCUCUGGGAAGGGCCUCCAGGGAGAUGGGCAGGGAGGUGUUGUCAUGGUAACUUGGCAAUCUUCUGAGGCUCUGGCAGAGAGGAGGAGAGAGGCAGGUGCAAGGGUCCUGCACCCUGGCUUUUCAGACACAAGGUACCCCUGGGCUUGCGGCCCAGGGGACACAUCCUGCCUCCCAGUCCCACGUCACAUGCACCCACAGAGCUUUUCACUUCCCAGGCCCUUCCAGGAGGGCGGGCCUGACGGCUGUCCCCCGUCCCAAAUGGACAAAGCAAGGCCUCGACAGGGACGUGCACUGCCCAAGGUCACCAGGCGGAGGCCGGCAGCCAGUAGGAGCAGACACAGAGACAUCGCCUCUCCACACCUGACAACGCCCUCUGUCUGCCUGGCCGCUCAAACCGCUGCAGCCGCCAGGCCUCCAUUAGGGUCCUGGGGCCACUCGUCUUGGGAACGGGGAGGACCUCGUACGACCACCUUGACUCCGGCCUGCAACUUCUGAGAGGCUCCAAGGUUUCAGCAAACCACCGAGAGCCUCGCUCUCCGUCUGCCUACCUGAGCAGAACACAAUUUCUGUGUCUGGGUGGGGGGCGCCGCUGAGCUGGGGAGGCCCUGGCCAGCUCCCUGUGGCUGCCAGACUGUCCGCCGGUGCCCUAGACCCGGCUCCCGCCCGCCAGGCGGGCACAGCGUCUGGGCAGAACGCCAGGGGGAAUUUUCCACCUGCCUGGCUCUGCCGCCCGCUCUGUGGUCUGGAGCGGGGGUUGUCUCGGGCCGCCCACACGGGAAGGGCCGGCUGUCGCCUUGUUACGCGACUGCCGACAGUGUCUGUCCCCCUUCAGAGACGAGGAGCUUUUGGCUCUGGGCCGUGCACGCCCCCAGCUCACCCAGUGAGCCCCCGCCUCGAACAGACGGGGAGAAUGAGGCAUCAGCGAGCGAUGACGUGACCGAGGUCACAGGGAGAGGUGGUGGCCGAGCCAGGCCCCAGACUCACUGCCCUUGACCACAGCUUCCAGGCUUCCCGGAGCGCAGCUCUCCCGACCCUCCUCCACCCCAGGUUCACUUGGGCUGCUGGCCCCCUGCCCCCCCCCACACACCCUGCCCUCCCUUCUUGGCACGGCUGGGUGGGUCUGCCCUUCCCAGCUCAACGUGAGAAGCAGCUCUGGGGGGUGUGUGUGUGUGUGCGUCCCUGCGCGUGUGACAACUGAAACCACGAUGGCCACAGAGGCCGGAAGAUGGGGAGAGAUUACAAGCAGAUAGCCGGGGACUCCGUACCGGGCAGGGGCGGGAGGGGGUGGAGGGUGAGACCUGCCGAGGGACCUUGGCGGGGGCGGCACCCUCCGCUUGCCCCUCCCAUCUCUCCCCUUGUUGGGGACCCCAGACCCCCGUGCCGGCCUCAGGCCACCCGCAGGGAUGGGGUCAGAUGGCGCCCAUGUCCCCGGGGCCCAGAGCCCGACAUCUCUCCCGCCCACGGCGAGGUGACCCAGGUACACCUGCUCCUUGGAGUAAACAGCAAAGGAAAGGCCCCGGGCUGGGGCGGCUAAGGCUGAAACUGGGUGCCGGGAGCGCAUGAGUCACGUUCUCGAUCCGCGACUGCCAGGGAGGGGAGCGGGGAGGGAGGGUGGGGGACCAGGCCCACACCCCCUCCUUUGGGACUCCUGAAAGGUCCUCAGAAAUCUCUCCUACAACCUCUUUGUUUCAUCGAGUUAGGCGGCUGCACCCUAGAGAUGGCCCAGAGAGGGCAAGUGACUUGUCUAUAGACACACAGCAUAGUAGUGGUCCCAGGACUUCUGAGCUGCGGGUUCAGAUCCCAGAGCCGGGAACAGAACUCCAGCAGGCCUGCCCUGCCCUGCCCGGGUCAGACCCGCUGCCCGCUGGGGAAAGAGACUUGCAAUUGCAGUCAUCGCAGAGAUGCCGUCAAGCCCCGGGGCUGCUCUGGUCACUGGGCUGACAUCAGCCGGGUGUCCCCCGUCCCCGGAAGCCCCGCCCAGUGGUGUGACGUCACGGGCUGGGCUGGACCAACCCUGCCGGGAGUAACUUUCCACCCGGGAAGAGGGGGGCCGAGGGAUCCGGGUCUGAGCUUGCGUGGGCCCACGACCUAGCUCCGCCCCCCGAAACUUCGUAGGCACCUCUGCUGCCCACCUCCUGCUCCCCUCACCUCCCGGGGCUGCUCCCACGGGCGACUGAGUCAGCUCCCGGGCCAAGUCAGGAGUAGCGUAAAGUCGGCCUUCCCUGGCUCUGCUGGUAUUGUGGCUAGGAGCGGUGGAAUCCAGAGAAUUCAGAGUUUCGGGUCAUUCUAGCAGAUCUCAGCCUGUCACCUCGGCCGAGCCCUGGGCAGGUGUCUGGCCUCACGGAGCCUCCUGUGUAAACAGGUCCCCCGCAGGGCUGCUGGGAAGAUCAAGUGGAAUGACUUGUGUGUAACUCCGGCCCAGGGCCUGGCAUGUGGCAACAAGGGCUCAAUUUUGGGACGAUGGAAUGUCCCAGAAGGGGACUCUAGCGUUAAUUAGCCAAAGCUCGGAACAGUGUAGGGUCCCUGCCUUCCGCUUACUCAGCCACCACCUCUGGAAGACGGCACUCGGGGUGGCAGUAGGAGGACGGAGCUUUGUGUUACCCCAAACCAAUGCGCUUCCUCUCCGCGCCUCUUCACAGUUCGUACCGGGGGCUCACCCAGACGGACAGCCGUCCCCGGCGGGUGAGGGCCUCCUGCGGGCUCCCGGCCGCCCUCUCUGCUCCUUCCUUCUUGCUGUCUGUCCGGGGCUUAUCCCCUUUCUGAUCCCAGCAUCCGCCACCUCCCACGUUUGACUGCAGGCGUCCCUGAGCCAGGGACCUCUUGCGUCUGAGCUCCCCGCAGAGGGAAGAGGAAACGUCCACAGCGCGAACGCACGAAGGGGUGGGCUCUCUGGGAUCUGGGCCUGGGAGAGCACCUGGCUGGCCGCACAGCCCAGGGGCCCAGGACAGCCGCGCUGUGUGCUGCUGUCCUGUCUUGGUCAUUCGUAGUGUCCCUGUCACCGCCGGAGUGUCUGCGUUUGAAGAAUAAAUGUUACAGUCUCCCCAAGGCUGAGAGGCCUGGACAGGAGGCCCUGUCUCGCCAGCCAAGGAUUUCGUGUUACCCUUCCCUGUGGUCGUUUCCCAGCUGUGCUGUGGGGUGUUGAUGGAGAGCUCCAUUCCAGCGGGGGCCACAGGGGAUGGGGGGUGGGCAGCGAGAGAGAAACCUGUCGGGGAGAAAGACCGCGCUGGCUGUGAGGGCGGCAGAGCCUCCCCGCGAGGAAAGUUCCUCUCCGGGACCCUGAGGGCCGAGAACAAAGGGCAGUAAAUGUACAAAGAUGAGUUCAGUAGAAAUUCAAUAGGAACGUGGAGGAAAUUUCCAUCAAUCAAGCUCCCAGGGUCUCAGAGUCCCUGGGGGGAGGGGUGGGUUGUUACUCCCAGAGCGAGUGAGGGAGUGAACCCCCAGCCCCAGGUGCCCAGGGUCAAGGGGCAGAGACCUGGAGACCCUCCUCCCAAACACGAACAAACGUGAACCUCAAACGUGCACGGUGUCCCAGGGCCGCCCACACCCCCGGGGCUGCGUGCACCCCCGGGCAGGGGCCCUGCUGCUCCACAGUCCUCACUCGGAUGGGGAGGCCUUUCCUGUCCCAGGGGCUUUCGUGAGGUGGGAGAGAGGGGGAGGGGGACUGAGGAUGAGUCAUCAUGGCAACCAUCCACCCUGGACCUCGAGGCGAAUCUCGCCGGCACCUCGCUCUGUAUCAGGACCAUCAUUCAGCCUCACAGGGUGGGCUAAGCCCCCAGAAACAAACUGAAAAGACAGUGGCCCUGAGGGAGCCAAUCAGGCAGACUGGCGCGGCAGUGAUGACCUCGGUCUGGGACGAGGGCAGCUGGGGGUUCGCGGGAACCCGGGAAGCGCCCAAAUCCAGACGCAGCAGCAGCAGGGGGCAGCGGACCUGCACCUCAGGCCUGAGGAGGAGAAAGGUUUAGGGAGGGAGAGACAUGCCGUUGGGGCACAGAGGCUGGACCGUCCUCCCAGCAGAGCUGGUCCAGCCCUGUGACGUCACACCCUGGGGUUCCGGGAUCAGGUGCCCUGGCUGACGUCAGGGAGACAGAGCGCCAGGGAAACUGAGGAGAUGCUCUAACUCGUGGUGGGGUGGUUACGGGAUUGCACUCGUGAGCCACACUUAAAAUGUUACUGUGCAGAGCGGGCAUCUCCUGUGGUUGCUUUAAAGGGGCUGGGGAAGGGAGAGGGGUGAGGAAGGUGCCUGCUGAGGUGGGCUGGGGAGAUAAGGGCUGGUGGGGUACACAGGCGGCUGCAGCGGAGCAGGCUUUCUUUGGCAGGUCCCAGCCCUGCGGUCAGGACAGAUAGCUCUCAGCCCGGUGUUCAGACCGUCCAUCUCCUGCGUGACGCACAUCACCCAGUGUCUCAGAAGGAACACCAUACAGGCCCCUGAGGACCUUUCUCAUCUUUACCACUGACGUUCGGUCCCAGAAGCUAGGUCCCAGGUUCUGCAUCUGGAAAUACGGAUCGUAGCCCCGUCCCUGCCAGCUAGCACAGGGGUCUUGUGAGGGUAAAGUCAGAAAACACGUAUGAAAGCAUUUCACCGCAGGGGCCACAAGUAGGUAAGUGGGGGACGGUCCUGGAGCUUUGUCCACGUCCCACCGGCUCCCUCCGUCCUGCGUGUGGCUGAUCCUGUUACGAACCCCUUGAAGACAGAGACCGAACGUGUGCUUCUGUUUGACGGUCACUGGGGCAGUUCUCAUUCCACAGCAGGUAGGAUAAGCCUUGCUGAGAGGUCUUUCAAAUAAAGGAUUUAAACCUCGAGGACUCUUUUUGUCUGCUUCUCUGGGCUGUCUGGCGUGCUACGACUGCUGCCGACGGUGAGAGUGUUGGGGGGAGAAAUACUUCCUCUACCCUCUUAGGUUCUGUGACUGGUAUCUGCAAAUUAAACUAGGAAAAGACAGAUUAACGGGAGAAAAGGCAUACAGCUUUUAUUUGAUGUCAAUAUUUUAAUUUUUAUAUGCAUGAAGGUCUUCAUAGAAAAGAAGUGAAGGGACUUCCCUGGCCGUCCAGUGGUUAAGACUCCACAAUUCCACCGCAGGGGGAGAGAGCAUGAUCCCUGCUGGGGAACUAAGAUCCCACACGCUGCGCAGUGCUACAUCUUGGAUGGCAGUGGAUACUUUGAUGUGAGAGAUGAGGGGACAAGUAGAUCCGGAUUUUCCUGGAAAAGGAGACACGGUCGCUCUUCCUGCAGGGAUCUUUCGGCUCCAACCUGGAUGAGAACAUCGUGCAGGUUAUGCAGCUGUUUGUGUGGACGGCGCAGAGCCAGCUAGCUGACCAGUUUGAGGCCCCGGGGGCAGUACAUGGGGUGUUGGCACGGACAGCAGAGCCAGUGCCCUGGGGCCUCGCACACCCCGGUCCCCCUUGUGAAGGUCCCGAAUGUGGUAGCCGCAGGAAAUAUGUCAUCUUCUCCUUGCUUUUAUGUUGUAGGCUUGAGGCUAGGUGAGCUUUCCUUCGCAAGAUUAUUUGAUCAGAAUACGUUUUAAUGAAAGGAGCUAUAAAGCUGGUUUGUAUUUACAUGGAAGCCCCUGUGCAAAUCUGUACGAAUCCACUUGUUUUCUCUGAUUUGGUAUCAGUGGUCAGUGGCCCUGUGUCAGCUCAUGCCUUCAGCUCUAACUGAGUGAGUUUUGUUUCCCCAGACACAACCGCUUCGCUGCCCCAUCUGGACCCGAUUCUUGUUUUUUUGUUUUUGUUUGUUAUUGC